rnacentral:lncRNA from 1 species
AAAAAUGAAAACUUUCCAAAAAUAGAAUUUUUGAGAAUUUUAUCUAAAAUAUACAACCUAUUGAUUAAAAACUCUAAAACAAUACUCAUCUAUCCACAAAUAUUAUUGUUAUCCUAAUUUCUAAAUCACAAACCCUAAUCUACAAUAUUUCUCAAAAAAUGAAAACUUUCCAAAAAUAGCAGUUUUUAAGAAAAUUAUUUAAAAAUACAACCUAUUGAUUAAAAACUCUAAAACAAUACUCACCUGUCCACAAAUAUUAUUGUUAUCAUAAUUUCUAAAUCACAAACCCUAAUCUACAAUAUUUCUCAAAAAAUGAAAACUUUUCAAAAAUAGCAGUUUUUAAGAAAAUUAUUUCAAAAUACAACCUAUUGAUGAAAAACUCAGAAAAAUAUUCAUCUAUCCACAAAUAUUUUUGUUAUCCUAAUUUCUAAAUCACAAACCUUAAUCUACAGUAUUUUUCUAAAAAUGAAAACUUUCCAAAAAUAACAGUUUUUAAGAAAAUUAUUU